rnacentral:rRNA from 1 species
GGCGAACGGGUGAGUAACGCGUGGGUAAUCUACCCGGUAGUGGGGGAUAACCCUCCGAAAGGAGGGCUAAUACCGCAUAACAUCUUCACCUCAAAAGAGGUAAAGAUUAAAGAUGGCCUCUUUACAUGCUAUCACUUCCGGAUGAGCCCGCGUCCUAUUAGUUAGUUGGUAGGGUAAUGGCCUACCAAGACCGCAAUGGGUAGCCGGUCUGAGAGGAUGUACGGCCACACUGGGACUGAGAUACGGCCCAGACUCCUACGGGAGGCAGCAGUGGGGAAUCUUGCGCAAUGGGGGAAACCCUGACGCAGCGACGCCGCGUGGAUGAUGAAGGCCUUCGGGUUGUAAAGUCCUGUUCUGGGGGACGAAACCUUAAGGGUCUAAUACACCCUUAAGCUGACGGUACCCCAAGAGAAAGCUCCGGCUAAUUAUGUGCCAGCAGCCGCGGUAAUACAUAAGGAGCAAGCGUUGUCCGGAAUUAUUGGGCGUAAAGAGCUCGUAGGCGGUCUUAAAAGUCAGGUGUUAAAUUAGCAGGCUCAACCUGCUAAGGUCAUCUGAAACUCUAAGACUUGAGGAUAGAAGAGGAAAGUGGAAUUCCCGGUGUAGCGGUGAAAUGCGUAGAUAUCGGGAGGAA